rnacentral:rRNA from 1 species
CGGGAUGGACGUACCUCUGGUGUACCAGUUGUUCUGCCAAGGGCAUGGCUGGGUAGCUAUGUACGGAAUGCGCCGAAAGUGUAAGGCCCCUUAUAGACUCUCUGGUUGAUAGGGCGAAGGUGUAAGUGCAGCAAUAUAUUUAGCUUAUCGAUACUGAUAGGUCGAGGACUUGACCAA